ACUCCUACGGGAGGCAGCAGUGAGGGAUAUUGCACAAUGGGGGAAACCCUGAUGCAGCGACGCCGCGUGGGUGAUGAAGGCUUUCGGGUCGUAAAACCCUUUUUGGCAUGACGAGAACGGACGGUAGUGCCAGAAUAAGUCUCGGCUAACUACGUGCCAGCAGCCGCGGUAAAACGUAGGAGGCAAGCGUUAUCCGGAGUUACUGGGCGUAAAGGGUGCGUAGGCGGCUCAUCAAGUGGGACGUGAAAGCUCACGGCUAAACUGUGAGAGGACGACUCAGACUGAAGGGCUAGAGGGUGUCAGAGGCGUGCGGAAUUCGGGGUGUAGCGGUGAAAUGUGUAGAGAUCCCGAGGAACACCAGUGGUGCAAACGGCGCGCUGGGACACAACUGACGCUGAAGCACGAAAGCGUGGGGAGCGAACGGGAUUAGAGACCCCGGUAGUCCACGCCGUAAACGAUGUCAACUAGGUGUCUGCAAGGGGAAACCUGAGUGGGUGUCAAAGCUAACGCGAUAAGUUGACCGCCUGGGGGAGUACGGUCGCAAGGCUAAAACUCAAAGGAAUUGACGGGGGCCCGCACAAGCAGCGGAGCGUGUGGUUUAAUUCGAGG
rnacentral:rRNA from 1 species